CCCGCUUGUUAGCUAUAAUGGGCUUCCACUUAUGCCAAAAUGGCUCGGCCAUUUCGGAUGCACUUAAGACCGUGGCGCGGUGUAAGAAAAUCACGAGGUACGACAUGACGCGAAGUGAGGCGUACCGAUCGGUGAAUAUUACCCGUCUCUUUAUGAAGGUGGUCGGGCUAUGGUACGUCGAAACGCCGAGGGAACGGCUGCUCUUGCGCGCCGCGUUCGGCUAUGCCGUUUGGGCGAUUGUCUUCGCCAUUCUUGUCGAGGGCAUUGAUCUGUAUCACUGCAUAGGUGACUUUUACGCUGUUACGUCCAACUUAUGUGCAACGUUACUGUUAAUAAUGAUACUAGUAAAGCUAGGUAGCUUUAUGUUCUACCGCGACUUUAUAAUGGAUAUGAUUCAUUUCGCCGAGAGGAAUUUCUGGAGUGUCACUUACGACGAGACUGGCGCUCAAAUUCUGGGAGGAUACGACAAAUUAGGGAUGACUAUGAUCUACACUUUUACAUUCAUAGUUUUAAUCGCGACUUUCAAUUACAUCUUCGCACCUUUCUUUGAACCGCAAGAAAAGAACGAAACGGAAAAAAUUCUACCCUUCAAGCUGUGGGUCGAUUUUCCAUAUCAUUCUCCAUAUUACGAAAUCACAUAUGUCAUACAGUCGCUUUCGACAAUGCAUUCGGGUAUCUGCACUUUUUGCUUUGACAAUUUUGUGAGCACGUUUAACAUCCACGCAGCCGCACAGCUGAAAAUCUUGGCUCACAAAGUGGAAGUCGUUGCCGAAAAUUGUAUCGAGGAUACAAUAGACCAGAAACUUCCGUUAGAAACAGAUGCCACGAUUCGGACAUUCAAGAAAUUGCGAGACUGUUUGCAGCAGCAUCUCACGCUCAUAUGUUACGUGCGUAACAUGCAACGCGUGUUCGCCACUAUAUUGCUCGGCCAGUUGCUGCUCUCCAGCGUAGUCAUCUGCUUCGGUGGAUUUCAGUUUCUCGCAACGGAUGUGACCAUCAGAAAGUGCAUUUUUGCCUUCCACUUUGUAGGCGGUCUUAUCCAGCUGCUUAUUUAUACGUGGACGUGUAACGAUAUAAUUGUGCAGAGCACGGCUAUCUGCGACGCCGCUUACAAUUCUAAGUGGUAUCUUUUACCCGACACCGGUCUGGGGAGGGCGGUGAAGAAAGGGCUAAUUAUGAUGAUGAUCAGAGCACGUCGGCCGUGCAUAUUAACCGCUGGGCAUUUCGCUGUUAUGUCCUUGGACACUUUCAUGGGGAUAUUGAGCACAGCGAUGUCAUACUUUACGUUAUUACGACAAAUGAGUGAAGAUAAUAUAUAGUGUAGAAUAUAGACCUAUAGAAGAGAUUUCUAGCACUACAGUUGGCAAAAUUCCUGAUAUACAUAUAUACAUACAUACAUACAUACAUACAUACAUAUAUGUAUAUAUGUCAUAGUUUAAAUAAGUAUUUUAAUUUAAUGAGGUAUAUGCUUAAAUAAAUUCCAAUGUCAAGAGGACAAACCUUUUCGCUGGAAUAUUUUCUGUCGAUUCAAAAACAAUUGAAGAGUCAAGAGAUUACUAUAAAUAAAUUUGAUAUUUCAAGAAUUAAAUACACUUAUGUCACUAUUAUGUUACAAUUUACCAAGUAAAAUAUGUAAAUAAUUAAAUAGAAUAACAAAAUGUUAUUAAUAAAAAAGAUUUCAAUUUUCCAUACUAAUUUUUGAUAUUGUAAUCUUCAGUAGACCAUUAUCCGACAUAUGAUACAGGUUAGAUAUCAUACGUAUGUUAAAUGCGAAUUUACAAGUCUUAUAAAAAUCACAUUGCCAUCAGUUGGCACGUAAUCAUCUUCGUUGCUCAAGUUUUCAACAGAUAAGAAUAAUGUUAACUUGAAAAUUAAUAAGAACUUACAGAAAUUAAGUGUGUAUAAUUUGAAACUAAUCAAAUAAUGUGAUUUUUGUAUAUAAUUCUUUCUCUCUCAAAUCAAUAUAUGAAACUAAAAUUUAUUUUUAUUAAAGUAAUUUCGUUAUGAAAUCUUCAGAGAAACAUAGCACGCGCCACUCCUAAUUCACACAUAACUUACAGCGCUCAUUCAUUAACUUUAAAUUGUUCUCAUUUAAAAUCUACUAUUCGGACGAUGUUUUAUUACAAGUAAAAAUUGUUUCUGAUACAAAACAUCACAUUGUAUAUUUCAUGUGAUUGAAUUCUGGGAAAUCUUACAUACACAUAAAAACACACAUAUUAUGUGUCUAAAUGUGUAAAAUUUAAAAUAUAUAAAUCCUUUUCACAAAUAACAAAUAGCAAAUUAUAAUGGAUUUAAUAAUGUUAAGAAAAAAAGUUAUUAAAUUAACUAUUGAUUUAUUAAAAUACGUUAAUAAAUUUUAAUUAUAAUAAUUUAUGAAUAAUUUUAAUAUUAAUUCUUAAUUAGUUUUACGUAGCUUUCAAGAUCCUUUACACAGAUAUAACUUCGCAACGGUCAAUAAGAUGGAAUUUACCUGUUAACAAGAUUUCAAGUGGAAAGAGGAAGAUUUGGUCUGGCCGUGGAAACUUUUUGUUCGCGACAAAGCCAGGCUGCGAGCUAGGUCAAGAUUCUCUACAAAGGUAGAGCGUUCAUGGAAACUAUGCUAAAAGUUUUCCCGUGGUUAAGUGACCAAUAGAGGUGAGAAUUUCUAACUUUAUGCCCGUGAAAUUUUCGAAGAAAAUAUAUUAUCUCGUAAUAUAUUUUAAUAAUAACUUUCCUUAAAAAUCAUAAAGUGAUGAGUGAUAGAAUAGCUUAACUAAUCUUAUACUUAGAAUAUAUCAUCUAAAAUAUAGCUUUUGUGCUAUAAUUAAAUAUUUAUUUUCAUCACAUAAUUAUUUUCUGCUAUACUAAUA
rnacentral:misc_RNA from 1 species